rfam:Triticum urartu cultivar G1812 contig806941, whole genome shotgun sequence.
UAGCUACUCCCUCCGUUCGAAAUUACUUGUCUCAAAAGUGGAUGUGUAUAGAACUAAAAUACGUCUAGAUACAUUCAUUUGUUUGACAAGUAAUUCCGAAUGGAGGGAGUAGUUC